AUUGAACGCUGGCGGCAGGCCUAACACAUGCAAGUCGAGCGAGCGGCGGACGGGUGAGUAAUGUAUGGGGACUGCCCGAUAGAGGGGGAUAACUACUGGAAACGGUGGCUAAUACCGCAUACUAUCGGAUAACCCAUAUGGGAUUAUCUAGUAGGUGGGGUAAAGGCUCACUUAGGCGACGAUCUCUAUCUGGUCUGAGAGGAGGAUCAGCCACACUGGGACGUAGACACGGCCCCGAGUCAUCCGGAGCCAGCAGUGGGGAAUAUUGCACAAUGGGCGCAAGCCUGCUGCAGCCAUGCCGCGGGUCUGAAGAAGGCCUUAGGGUUGUAAAGUACUUUCAGCGGGGAGGCGUUACCCGCAGAAGAAGCACCGGCUAACUCCGUGCCAGCAGCCGCGGUAAUAC
rnacentral:rRNA from 1 species